rnacentral:rRNA from 1 species
AUGGCCGUGAACAACACCAAGCUGGCCGCCGUGGCGGACGCUGAGAACCCGGCCGUGGUGUGCGGCGGCGUCGACGACUCCGUCUCCGAGUCAUCCAUCGACUUCGCGGGGCGCGCCAACUGGCUGCGCGCGGCGGUGCUGGGCGCCAACGACGGGCUGGUCUCCACGGCCUCUCUCAUGCUCGGCGUCAGCGCCGUCAAGCCCGAGGCGCGGGCCAUGGUCGUGUCCGGGUUCGCGGGACUACUGGCCGGGGCCUGCAGCAUGGCCAUCGGAGAGUACGUGUCCGUCUGCUCCCAGCGCCACGUGGAGAUCGCGGAGCUGGACCAGGCCGGAAAGCGUGGCGGCGACGAGGAGAAGGCGCUGCCAAGCCCGGCACAGGCCGCCGCGGCCUCAGCGCUGGCUUUCUCCGUCGGGGCGCUCCUACCGCUGCUGGCCGCCGGGUUCAUCGAGGGCUACAACCUACGGGUCGCCGUGGUGGUCGUCGUGGCGACGUUGGCGCUGGCCGCGUUCGGAUGCAUGGGCGCCGUGCUGGGGCGGGCCCCCGUGGCGAGGUCGUGCGCGCGGGUGGUGGUGGGCGGACUGGCUGCCAUGGCCGUCACCUUUGGGUUCAUGAGGCUCUUCCGAGCCAGCGGCGUAUGA